GGGGUCGACUGGUUUUGACAGCGAGUGGAAUUGAUUAGUAAGC
rnacentral:tmRNA from 1 species